rnacentral:rRNA from 1 species
CUGGUUGAUCCUGCCAGACCCGACUGCUAUCGGAUUGGGACUAAGCCAUGCGAGUCAACUCCGCAAGGGGUGGCGCACGGCUCAGUAACACGUAGUCAACCUACCCUGGGGACGGGGAUAACCUCAGGAAACUGAGGCUAAACCCCGAUGGGCCAUGGCUCCUGGAAUGGGCUAUGGCUGAAAUCUACAUGGCCCCAGGAUGGGACUGCGGCCGAUCAGGUUGUUGGUGGGGUAAUGGCCCACCAAGCCUAUAACCGGUGCGGGCUCUGAGAGGAGGAGCCCGGAGAUAGGCACUGAGGCAAGGGCCCAGGUCCUAUGGGGCGCAGCAGGCGCGAAACCUCCGCAAUGGGCGAAAGCCCGACGGGGUCAGUCCGAGUGGUUCCCGCUGAGGGAACCUUUUGCCAGCUGUAAACAGGCUGGCGAAUAAGGGGUGGGCAAGUUUGGUGUCAGCCGCCGCGGUAAUACCAGCACCCCGAGUGGUCGGGACGAUUAUUGGGCCUAAAGCAUCCGUAGCCGGCCCAGUAAGUCCUCCGUUAAAUCCAACGGCUCAACCGUUGGGCUGCGGGGGAUACUGCUGGGCUAGGGGACGGGAGAGGCGAGGGGUAUUCCCGGGGUAGGGGUAAAAUCCACUGAUCCCGGGAGGACCACCAGUGGCGAAGGCGCCUCGCUAGAACGUGCCCGACGGUGAGGGAUGAAAGCUGGGGGAGCGAACCGGAUUAGAUACCCGGGUAGUCCCAGCCGUAAACGAUGUAGGCUCGGUGUUGGGCUGCCUCAGUGGCAGCCCAGUGCCGCAGGGAAGCCGUUAAGCCUACCGCCUGGGGAGUACGGCCGCAAGGCUGAAACUUAAAGGAAUUGGCGGGGGAGCACCAC